rnacentral:rRNA from 1 species
GGGGAAUAUUGCACAAUGGGCGAAAGCCUGAUGCAGCGACGCCGCGUGGGGGAUGAAGGCCUUCGGGUUGUAAACUCCUUUCGCUAGGGACGAAGAGUUACAUUGACGGUACCUGGAGAAGAAGCACCGGCUAACUACGUGCCAGCAGCCGCGGUAAUACGUAGGGUGCGAGCGUUGUCCGGAAUUACUGGGCGUAAAGAGCUCGUAGGUGGUUUGUCGCGUCGUCUGUGAAAUCCCGGGGCUUAACUCCGGGCGUGCAGGCGAUACGUGCAUAACUUGAGUGCUGUAGGGGAGACUGGAAUUCCUGGUGUAGCGGUGAAAUGCGCAGAUAUCAGGAGGAACACCAAUGGCGAAGGCAGGUCUCUGGGCAGUAACUGACGCUGAGGAGCGAAAGCAUGGGUAGCGAAC